UUCCCCAUUACGGACAGUCCUUAUAACCGGACAGCUCCAAUAACCGGACAAAUUUUGGGCACACAGGUUUUUCAUUCAUUUUUUCAUACAAAUAUCAUCCUAAUAAACGGACACUCUAAUAACCGGACGCGGACAAAGUAUUUCAAACCAUUUUCAUAAAAAAAUUUCUCAUAAACGGACAAAAUUCAAAAAUAUCACAAGCAAGCUUAGUUGUUCAUUAUUAAAAUGAAAUAGGUGAUUCCCCUUUUAACAUGUAUGCACACAUUCAAGUCCUGUGUUUUAAAUUAAGAGUAGUUUUCCAUUCAGUUUGUUAAGUCAGUUGCAUGCGAAUGGUUGCGUUCAAAGUUCGUAAUAAUAUGGCGCCGAAAAAGAAGGUACUUUCUAUUAAAGAAAAAAUGGAAAUUAUUAAUGUUUUCGAAAAAGAUAAAUUAUCAGUACGUGGAAUUACAAAAAGGUUCAAUAUUGGCAAAACACUAGCGCCUGAAAUCAAUAAAAAUAGAGAAAAAAUUCGUUCUAAAUGGGAGUCUGGAGUUAAUGUUCAUCAAAAGCGAAGCUUUCUUAAAGAAGGCGGCUCUGAAAUAGGCAAGAUGUGUUUUAAUUGGUUCGCUAAGACUAGAAUUCAAAACAUUCCGAUUUCUGGUCCCAUUUUGAAAGCAAAGGCAAUGGAAAUUGCAGGCAAACUGGGUGUACCUAAUUUGAAUGCUUCAGAUGGAUGGUUAAACAAAUGGCGAAUAAGGAAUAAUGUUGCUUUCAAAUGCGUAUCUGGUGAAGCUGCAGAUGUAAACCAGGAUGGUGUCGAACAGUUUAGGACAAAACUGCCAUCUCUGUUGACCGGUUACAAGCCUGAAGACGUUUACAACGCAGACGAAAGUGGGCUUUUUUUUUCGUGCCUUACCUGACAAAACCCUCGCUCUUAAAUCCGAAAAAUGCGUGGGCGGUACACUAUCAAAGGUAAAGCAGCCCGUCCUCGAUCUUUUAAACAUGUUCCAAUCGCAAAACUGCUAGUAGAUUGGAAGUCUAAUAAAAAAGCAUGGAUGACUCGAGAAGUAAUGAGUGAAUAGCUGCACCAGUGCAAUCGAAGAAUGAAAGCCCACAAUCGAAAAAUUAUCUUGUUUUUAGAUAACGCGGCUUCUCACCCAAAGGAAUUAAACUUAACCAACAUAAAAAUUAUUUUCUUGCCGCCAAAUACAACGGCGGUUAGCCAACCCCUUGAUCAAGGUAUAAUCCAAAAUUUAAAAACUUUGUAUAGAAG